UUUUCAGGAUUCACAGCAAAUUUUUUAAAAGAUUUCUAUUUUUAACAUAUUCAUUAUAUUAUUAUUAGAGUUUGGUGAAUAUGCUAAAUGCCUCUCCCUUCCAUGAGUUUAUGAAUUUCAAUUAUAUCUUCUCUUCACCAUUGGGUAUCUGGCCUAAUCAAUAUUAAUAGAUAUUUAACCACAUUUUAAAGCUAUAAUAAUUAAAAUAGUAUAAUACUUAUAUAGGGAGGAACAUUAAAUACUCAGGAGAUGUAAUUUUUUUAGCCUCUUAAUUUGGCAGUGUAUCUCAAAAUGUGGUAUGUAUCAAAAUAAUCUGGCCCCAAUUUCAUAACUUCUAAGUGGGAUGCAGCUCUGCCAUGUAUUUGUUGAAGGCAGUGAUGGUGGCAGUGAUUCUAAAAGAGAAAUUCUCAAUUUUGUAGCUGAUUCGCAUAGAGGGCUUGUGACUCCAUCACCUACUGUCUGUGUGACCCUGUGCAAGUUACCUAACCUUCCAUGCCUCAGACUCUUCCUCUCUAGAAGAACUGAGCAUAAUAAUAGUGCCUUCUUCAUCGGAUUAUUAUGAUAGUUACAUGAAUUAAGACAUGGAAUGUGCCAGGUACUAUGUAUAGUAAGUAUCAAAUAUCUGCUAUUAUUAUGCUAAGGCCUGUUAUUACAAAGUAAAGUUACCUAAUAUUUAUUAUUUUUUACGUGUUAUAAAUUGUUAGGCACACUGAAGAUAUAAAUGCAUGAUCUCAUUUAUUUUUCAUAUCCACUCAAUAUGCUGAAUGUUGUCUUACCCAUUUCAGAGGUUGGAAAAGUGAGGUCCAGAGAGGCUUAGCUGGCUGAGUGUGACUGAGAAGAAAAGGCUUGGGGCUGCAAACUCCACAGAGAUAAAGGGGCUACUGCUAUCUUGCUUUGGUAGUUACAGUAAAUCAAGAUAAAGACACCAGUCUGCUUGGACUUGUGGAGAGGUAGCAAACAGGUAUGGAAGACCUGGAAUCGACUUCAGAAAUGCUCACGAUGCUUGGGUACCCUGAUGUGGUACUACCUAGCCUACUUGGGUCAAAUGACUUUUGCAAAAUUCUAUAAGAUACUUAGCAUUCUCCUGUGGCAAUUAUUUGUUAACAAAAUGCUGGAAGGAAGAGCUCUAAAGAUUUUCUUAAAUAUAUCUGUCCCAGGGAUAUCAAAUGUUUAGGAGAAAUAGUGUAGUAACAGAGGUAAGCUAUCAAUUUAAUUUCACUUGACAUCUAAUCUAGUUGUGUUACCAUGAUGUUCCCUGACUACGUAGGGCUUCUGCCUGCCAUUGGACACUAAAUAAUUAAGAAUUAGUUUCUUGGGUUGUUGAUUAUAUCAGAAAGUCCCAGGUUAUAAACGGGAUUAAACAGUGAACACACUAAAGGUAUAAAGUUAUUUAUUCAGUAUAUUUAUAAGGCCUCAACAUAAUUUAUAGAAUUUACAUUUAGCUAUGUAUUUAUCCAAGAGAGAUUUGUUAAGCUACAUUUCAGAAAGAUUUACUAACUAUAUGUGUACAUCAAAUUCAAAGUAGGCUUAUACAUUUGAGCUUUAUAUUGGACAGAAUUAUUCUAAUGACAUAGUAAGCUAGACAAUUGAGUUCUCCUAUAGAAAACUUAUACUUUUUUAAACUACCAAUAACCAUUACCCUAUUAAAAAUGGCUUCACAAAUAUGACAGUACAGGAGAAGACUCAUAGGAGAACUUCUCAGUGGGUAGACUGGCCAUUCUGAUCUGAGUGCAAAUAACACCAAGGCAGAGUUUACUUAAGCUUAUGUCUAUAAAAUUUAAGUGUUGAAGUGGGAAGAUAUUAAUUUAUAUGCAUGGCCUGUUAAAUGGCUAGUUUAGAGCUAUCAAAUAAUCUUGUAUAUGAUGUUAUACUAUGUUAUUCUUUGUGAAAAGGUAAUAAGGACAGUGUAAAUUUCAGGGCUACUUCCUACUCAUACCUUGUUGAUAAAAAUGUAGAUUGGUUGAAUACUUCGAAGAGCAGUUUGGCAAUAUUGAAUAUGAGCUGUAAAAAUACAUAACCAUUGUAACAUGAAGACCUUAUGUAAAUUAACAAGAAAAACUCAUCUGCAGUAAGCCUUAUCGAACCCCUUGCCUGGGCUAAAUGCUCUAUUCCAAAUAAAUAAAUAAAUAGUUUGUAAUUAGAGGAGGGUUUUUAUGUUCAAUUGUGAGAUCAAUCUUUAAGAAAUUUUAAGGAUUUAAUAGUCUUAUAUAAUUAGAGCUUGAAGUUAAAGGGAAAAGAUGUUAAAUGAGGUGAAAGUGAGCAGAAAGAAAUCUUCUGCAUAUAGAGGUAACAUCUCAAUCAGAAGAAAGAAGGUUAAAAAAAGACCCGCAUCAGUUAGGAAGUGGUAAUUACACUAAUAUUUCAUUAUUAACUUCAAUCGUAAUUGAUUGACUUUUUUGACUUACUGUUGUGAUGAAAUGGCAACAGAGUAGAUUAUUAACUUUCAGACAGAAAUAUUAAUUUUCCCUUUGAUCAAUAGCUUAAGAUAGAGAUAAAAUAAAAUGAAUAAGGAGAAUUAUGCUUGUUCGUGUUAAAAAUUUACUAACCAGCAAAGGCAUGAGAAUGAUAUAAUGGACUUUGGGGACUUGGGGAGAAGGGUGGGAGCGGGAUGAGGGAUAAAAGACCACAUAUUGGGUACAGUGUACACUGCUUGGGUGACAGGUGCACUAAAAUCUCAGAAAUCACCACUAAAGAACUUAUUAUCCACGUAACCAAAGACCAUCUGUACCACAAAAACUAAUGAAAUACAAAAAAAAUUUAUGAGCCAAAGGGAAAUAUCAGUGUGUGGCUAUAUUCUAAGUACAUCCAGUUUAAAGUAAUGAAUAUCGUUUCUCAUCUGACCCAUUUAAAGCUGGGCUUCCAUGUGCCACUGUGUAUCAAUAAAGGCAUCUAUGAAAGAGCACGGGGGAGGAAGUCAGAAUCUCUAAAAACUAGCUACUCAUUCUCAUGUACAAGUUAGAUUAUUUGGGGAUUUGAUUUUUCUAUCCAUUGUGUAGUCAUACCAUUUAUGUUUUAGAUAUUAAUAAGCAAAACUUUGGACAUACCAGGACACUCAUAGAUGAUUUAAACUUUGUAAUUUAUGUUACCCAUUUGACCCCCAUUCAAAGACUCACUAAUGAACUUUUAACCCUUAACUUUUCUUGGCAAGAGCAUUAUAUUUAAACUGGAAAUGCAUAGAAAUCAUCAUUGGAACAUUUAUAAGGAUCAUUCCUACUGUAAUUCGCUAACAACUCACUACUAGGUGGAUUGCUUUUUGUUCAGUUUUGCUCUUUUCUGGUUUACUUCCAACCUGUUUACUGAGACUGUCUUGGUAAUGCAAAUCUUUCUUCUUUGUUAGUCCACAGACAGUUUGCUCAUUUCGGAAGAAAGCUCCUGACUGAGGUUCUUUAGAUGCGUUUAACGGAGGGACAGCUGUGCAGAAGCAUCACUGUCUCACUCUUUUCCAGACUGAUCAAAUGAAGCGUCUGUCAUGUCACACAUAUGGAGUUCUCUACCAACAGCAAAGGCUAUUUAGUCAAGUUCUACAGAUCAAAAGUCUAACACUGGUGUUAUUGGGCUGAAAUCCAGGCGAUGGCAGAGCUGCGCUCCUUUCUGGAGGCUCCGGGGAGAAUUCUCUUCCUUAACCUUUCAAGCUUCUCGAGGCCCUCUGCACUCCCUGGAGACAGGAGGAGAGAAGAAUCAUGGACUCCCUGGGCACAGCACCGCAGGUGGCUUUGCCAGUUCUCCCAGCCCCGCGCUGCUCCUGCGCCUGCGCUGAGCCUCCACGUGUCCUCAGGAGACUUAGCCUAGCCUGGGUAUCACCAGCAGUGGGCCAGGCCGCUUUGCCUUCAACUCCCAACAGUAACCUUGCAGAGGUCAGCCUGGGGCCACCAGGAGGAGUUAGUAAGAGCUUAUCCUGUGGGGGCACUCACUGGGGCUGGUGGCCGGGAAAUCCCAGGUGUUUUGUUGGUUUGAGUUUUGU
rnacentral:lncRNA from 1 species